UACAGAGGGGGCCAGCGUUAUUCGGAAUUAUUGGGCGUAAAGGGCGCGUAGGCGGCCAUGCGUGUCUUCCGUGAAAUCCCUCGGCUUAACUGAGGACGUGCGGAAGAAAAUGCAAGGCUCGAGUCCGGGAGAGGAGGGUGGAAUUCCCAGUGUAGCGGUGAAAUGCGUAGAUAUCGGUAGGAACACCAGUGGCGAAGGCGGCUCUCUGGGACGGUACUGACGCUGAGACGCGAAAGCGUGGGGAGCAAACAGG
rnacentral:rRNA from 1 species